rnacentral:rRNA from 1 species
UGGCGGACGGGUGAGUAAUGUCUGGGAAACUGCCUGAUGGAGGGGGGUAACUACUGGAAACGGUAGCUAAUACCGCAUAACGUCGCAAGACCAAAGAGGGGGACCUUAGGGCCUCUUGCCGUCGGAUGUGCCCAGAUGGGAUUAGCUAGUAGGUGGGGUAACGGCUCACCUAGGCGACGAUCCCUAGCUGGUCUGAGAGGAUGACCAGCCACACUGGAACUGAGACACGGUCCAG